ACGAGUUAUAGUAUAACUAAGUAGCAGACGGGUGAGUAAUGUAUAGGAAUCUACCUAGUAGUACGGAAUAAUUGUUGGAAACGGCAACUAAUACCGUAUACGCCCUACGGGGGAAAGAUUUAUUGCUAUUAGAUGAGCCUAUAUUAGAUUAGCUAGUUGGUAGGGUAAUGGCCUACCAAGGCAGUAAUCUAUAGCUGAUCUGAGAGGAUGAUCAGCCACACUGGAACUGAGAUACGGUCCAGACUCCUACGGGAGGCAGCAGUGGGGAAUAUUGGACAAUGGGCGAAAGCCUGAUCCAGCCAUGCCGCAUGAGUGAAGAAGGCCUUUGGGUUGUAAAGCUCUUUCAGUGAGGAAGAUAAUGACGGUACUCACAGAAGAAGUCCUGGCUAACUCCGUGCCAGCAGCCGCGGUAAUACGGAGAGGGCUAGCGUUAUUCGGAAUUAUUGGGCGUAAAGGGCGCGUAGGCUGAUUAGUAAGUUAAAAGUGAAAUCCCAAAGCUUAACUUUGGAAUUGCUUUUAAAACUGUUAAUCUAGAGGUUGAAAGAGGAUAGAGGAAUUCCUAGUGUAGAGGUGAUAUUCGUAAAUAUUAGGAGGAACACCAGUGGCGAAGGCGUCUAUCUGGUUCAAAUCUGACGCUGAGGCGCGAAGGCGUGGGGAGCAAACAGGAUUAGAUACCCUGGUAGUCCACGCUGUAAACGAUGAAUGUUAAAUAUGGGAAGUUUACUUUCUGUAUUACAGCUAACGCGUUAAACAUUCCGCCUGGGGACUACGAUCGCAAGAUUAAAACUCAAAGGAAUUGACGGGGACCCGCACAAGCGGUGGAGCAUGUGGUUUAAUUCGAUGCAACGCGAAAAACCUUACCACUCCUUGACAUGGGAAUUAUUCCUAUUCGAAGG
rnacentral:rRNA from 1 species